UCAAAUUUCCUUUCACUUGUGAAGACCUGUCUUUUCUGCUGUUGAUGUCCUGGGAAUUUCAAAGGCCCCGGCUGGCAAGCUUGCUGAGAGUCAUGGGACAAGAGGAGUACAAGUGAACAAUGGUCCAAUCUCGAGGGACAGCGCCAGUCAGGGUCACCCCUCUCGUGGCCUCCCCUUCCUUCCAACACAGCCUCGUCAUCUGUCGGGAACCAGGGAUUUCUCCCGGGCCUGGCACACCGUCUGUGCUAUACCACAGGCAGCUCUUGGAAUCGGGGGUCCCAUGGGCCCACCCCAAGCAAACAGCGAGGUACGCACAUCAGCCAGAGUCCCUCUUGGCACAUGUUAUAUGUGAAGCGCCAUGCUGAGGUGGUGAACAAGGCGUGAUGGGAUUUCCUUGGAUGCACGUGGCUAUGAGAAGCUCCCAUCACCCUCGGAAGUCCUGCGAUGCUCCUGCAACCCCUACUGCGAAGAACCUGGUCUGCUUGCACACCGUGGCAGGGAAGUGUGGAAUGGAUUCGGAGAACCAGGCUGUGGCUUAGGAAGGUGAGAAAUACUCCCUUAAGCCCCCUCAGCUUGAAGCUAAGAGC